rnacentral:rRNA from 1 species
UACGAAGGGUGCAAGCGUUACUCGGAAUUACUGGGCGUAAAGCGUGCGUAGGUGGUUUGUUAAGUCUGUUGUGAAAGCCCCGGGCUCAACCUGGGAAUGGCAAUGGAUACUGGCAAGCUAGAGUGCGGUAGAGGGUAGUGGAAUUCCCGGUGUAGCGGUGAAAUGCGUAGAUAUUGGGAGGAACACCAGUGGCGAAGGCGGCUCACUGGACUGGUACUGACGCUGAGGCGCGAAAGCGUGGGGAGCGAACCGG